GAUGAACGCUGGCGGCGUGCCUAAUACAUGCAAGUCGAGCGAACGGACGAGAAGCUUGCUUCUCUGAUGUUAGCGGCGGACGGGUGAGUAACACGUGGAUAACCUACCUAUAAGACUGGGAUAACUUCGGGAAACCGUAGCUAAUACCGGAUAAUAUUUUGCACCGCAUGGUUCAAAAGUGAAAGACGGUCUUGCUGUCACUUAUAGAUGGAUCCGCGCUGCAUUAGCUAGUUGGUAAGGUAACGGCUUACCAAGGCAACGAUGCAUAGCCGACCUGAGAGGGGGAUCGGCCACACUGGAACUGAGACACGGUCCAGACUCCUACGGGAGGCAGCAGUAGGGAAUCUUCCGCAAUGGGCGAAAGCCUGACGGAGCAACGCCGCGUGAGUGAUGAAGGUCUUCGGAUCGUAAAACUCUGUUAUUAGGGAAGAACAUAUGUGUAAGUAACUGUGCACAUCUUGACGGUACCUAAUCAGAAAGCCACGGCUAACUACGUG
rnacentral:rRNA from 1 species